AUUAAUUUCAUCAGAAGUUUAACUUAACACGUAAUACCCAUCAGGCCUUUGUGUUUUAGACAAAGCUAAAGGACCUGAUUAAAACAAAAAGAAUCCAAAUCGAUGCAGCAGAAGCAGAAAUAUUGUCUUUUUCACUGCACACAUUCUUCUUCCCCGUCAAUGUGGCUCCUACAUUACCCACAAUGCAACUCAGCUCGGUUGGAGAAUCAGGUGUGUUAUGCCAGAGGCAACUGAUGUACCUUGGAGCCAUUAUCUUCAGUCAGAGAGGAGGAGUGUCACUGGGUUGUGGUAAGUUCACUUCUUUCUAACUCCACACGCCACCAUUUUGGUGGCAUCUCUGAGGCAAACGACCUCAUACAACUUUUUUUUUUCUGAAGAAACUUUAAUGUAGAAAAUUGUUAGUUCCUCUUUAAUGUUUAUUACUUUGAGGCAAAGGCGGCACAUUGUAACGCUGUGCUUCCGGAACCAUAGGUGGCGGUAAAACUUUUUUAUGUACAGUCUGUGGCUAAAAAUCAAAAAGCCAGAAGAAGAAAAACGGAAGCUGGGCGGAGAGUAGAUGUGUAGCAUGUUGGAUGAACGCAGUCAAAUGAUAUGAGCAAAGUUAACUUUUACCUGCUAGUGUUUGAUUGUGCAUAUUAAAUACGUGCAGUCGGUACGUGUAGCUAGCUAACUUGCUCCUGUAUUUUGAGCGUGAUCUUUAAACGAGGUUUUGUUCAGUGACUUUUUCUGAAGUCGUAUAGCAACACGUGGGGAGGCUUGUACGUUAAUUAGAUCAGCUGAAGCAGAGGGGUUCCAGUGAAAUGAGCUUUGUGGACGCGCCAUAAACGGUCGACCUGCGGAGUUGAAUGCAGAACUCAGGGCGCAUCUACCGUGAGCACUUGACUGGUUUGUCUUUGUUUUUAUUUUAAGCUGUUAAUUUCCAAAUAAACACAAAAAUUUUGAAGCAAA